rnacentral:rRNA from 1 species
CAGUCGCCGCGGUAAUACGAAGGGGGCUAGCGUUGUUCGGAUUUACUGGGCGUAAAGGGCGCGUAGGCGGACUGAUAAGUCAGGGGUGAAAUCCCAAGGCUCAAUCUUGGAACUGCCUUUGAUACUGUUUGUCUUGAGUUCGAGAGAGGUAAGUGGAACUGCGAGUGUAGAGGUGAAAUUCGUAGAUAUUCGCAAGAACACCAGUGGCGAAGGCGGCUUACUGGCUCGAAACUGACGCUGAGGCGCGAAAGCGUGGGGAGCAAACAGGAUUAGAUACCCCUGUAGUCCCUGUCUCUUAUAC